GUAGUGGGGGAUAACGUUCGGAAACGGACGCUAAUACCGCAUACGUCCUACGGGAGAAAGCAGGGGACCUUCGGGCCCUUGCGCUAUCAGAUGAGCCUAGGUCGGAUUAGCUAGUUGGUGAGGUAAUGGCUCACCAAGGCGACGAUCCGUAACUGGUCUGAGAGGAUGAUCCGUCACACUGGAACUGAGACACGGUCCAGACUCCUACGGGAGGCAGCAGUGGGGAAUAUNGGACAAUGGGCGAAAGCCUGAUCCAGCCAUGCCGCGUGUGUGAAGAAGGUCUUCGGAUUGUAAAGCACUUUAAGUUGGGAGGAAGGGCAGUUACCUAAUACGUGAUUGUUUUGACGUUACCGACAGAAUAAGCACCGGCUAACUCUGUGCCAGCAGCCGCGGUAAUACAGAGGGUGCAAGCGUUAAUCGGAAUUACUGGGCGUAAAGCGCGCGUAGGUGGUUUGUUAAGUUGGAUGUGAAAUCCCCGGGCUCAACCUGGGAACUGCAUUCAAAACUGACUGACUAGAGUAUGAUAGAGGGUGGUGGAAUUUCCUGUGUAGCGGUGAAAUGCGUAGAUAUAGGAAGGAACACCAGUGGCGAAGGCGACCACCUGGACUGGUACUGACACUGAGGUGCGAAAGCGUGGGGAGCAAAC
rnacentral:rRNA from 1 species